CCAACUUUCCAUAAAUAUGAGCGUCAUCAUGGCCAGAACGGGAGCCGCUGAGCCUGUUGUGGAGAUGCCGGAGGAGAUCUCCUUUCCCCUAGCCUCCCUUGAGGAGGUUGAUCACUUGAAGGGUGGUUGAAAAACCCAGGCAACAUAGCCAAAAAACAGCACUUGGUGGGGAUGCUGGCCUCCAUUGGGGGAAGAGGUACUAAACAAAUAGUAUUUAACAUUUUGGGGUACAUUUUUGCUGACAGUGUAGCCAAAAACAUAAAUUGGAAAGGGAUGAAUAAUUAAAAAAAAUUCAGUGAGAUGGCAACCAAGGUCAUUAUGGCUCGAGCAGUGAGGAAGAAUCGCAUGAGUGAUAAAGCCACAUACAUGGAAAUAAAUCAUAAUGCCAUCAGAUGGUUUAAUCUGGCUUGUGACCGCGGGGGUGGCCGCCGUGCCCGGUCACACCCAACUGGUGAUCAAUAAAUAUGUGCAGUGUUCACAUUUUUUUUUUUUUGUAAUUUGAUUUUUAAUCAUAUUAUUUCUGUCACUUACAUUUACUCACUACUGGGAAUGGCCUUUUACAACUAGAGUAGUAUGGCUUCUUACUGUACAGUGGUGUGGUUAAGCUUGUCUCACUGCCAGGCUUGAGAGCUACUAGGAAUGGCUGUGGUAAAUAAGCAUGUGUGUGUAAGUGUGUGAAUGAGUGUGUGUAACGGGUGUGAACCGGGGAAAUGCAUGAAAAUGAAAUGAAAAUGAAAUGAAAAUUGAAAUGGAAAAGUAAAUAGAAAUGAAAAUGAAAUUGAAAGUGAAAUGAAAAGUAAAUG